ensembl:lncRNA
CCGGGUAUGGUAACAUAGCAACCACCUAGCAGACCGGGUAUGGUAACAUAGCAACCACUGCUGGUGGUGAAGGAGACCAGACUACAGAGGUAAAGAGGGAGUUUACCUGCUGGUGGUGAAGGAGACCAGACUACAGAGGGAGUUUACCUGCUGGUGGUGAAGGAGACCAGACUACAGAGGUAAAGAGGGAGUUUACCUGCUGGUGGUGAAGGAGACCAGACUACAGAGGGAGUUUACCUGCUGGUGGUGAAGGAGACCAGACUACAGAGGGAGUUUACCUGCUGGUGGUGAAGGAGACCAGACUACAGAGGGAGUUUACCUGCUGGUGGUGAAGGAGACCAGACUACAGAGGUAAAGAGGGAGUUUACCCAAAAGGCCUUUGUAGAUGAACACUUACAAAUGUAUCUUUCUGCACAUAUAAAGUGAGGUCCAACCUUCCAUUUGGUACAAGGUGUAAUGGUGGGUGAGUGACUUGGCAUCUGUUAUAAAGCACAAGGAUGCAUGAUAAACAGAGUCCAGUCUCUGUCAGACAGAGGAGGCUGCAUGUAUAUACAACAAGUCAACAUAAUCAAUAACAGAGAGAAAAGUGGCCUGAACAAGCUUCUUUCUAACCAUA